rnacentral:misc_RNA from 1 species
GAUGAAGAACGUAGCGAAAUGCGAUACGUAAUGUGAAUUGCAAAUUCAGUGAAUCAUCGAAUCUUUGAACGCACCUUGCACCCUUUGGCAUUCUGAAGGGUAUGCUCGUUUGAGUGUCAUUGUACUCUCACACUCCCGAUCUUUGCAUUGGGAGCAGUGGACUUGGGUUUGCUGCUUCACCGUCGCUUACCUCAAAUAGGUUAGUGCAACUCUUGGUUGGACAUAGUACGGCGUGAUAAGUGUUCUUCGCCGGUGCCUCGCAAAGAGGGUGGCCGAUCGGGAUGUUGUGCUCCAAACCGUCUUCGGACAAUCUCUGACGACUUGACCUCAAAUCGAGUAAGACUACCCGCUGAACUUAAGCAUAUCAAUAAGCGGAGGA